UACGUAGGGUGCGAGCGUUAAUCGGAAUUACUGGGCGUAAAGCGUGUGUAGGCGGAUCGUUAAGUGCCUUGUGAAAUCCCAUGGCUUAACCAUGGAACUGCUCGGCAUACUGGCGGUCUUGAGCCAUCUAGGGGCUACCGGAACAAAUGGUGGAGCGGUGAAAUGCGUAGAUAUCAUUUGGAACGCCAAUGGUGAAAACAGGUAGCUGGGGAUGUGCUGACGCUGAGACACGAAAGCCAGGGGAGCGAACGGG
rnacentral:rRNA from 1 species